rnacentral:rRNA from 1 species
AGUGAACGCUGGCGGCAGGCCUAACACAUGCAAGUCGAACGGCAGCACAAGAGAGCUUGCUCUCUGGGUGGCGAGUGGCGGACGGGUGAGGAAUGCAUCGGAAUCUGCCCAUUUGUGGGGGAUAACCUCGGGAAACCGGGACUAAUACCGCAUACGACCUACGGGUGAAAGCAGGGGAUCUUCGGACCUUGCGCAGAUGGCUGAGCGGAUGCCGGAUUAGCUAGUUGGAGGGGUAAAGGCCCACCAAGGCGACGAUCCGUAGCUGGUCUGAGAGGAUGAUCAGCCACACUGGGACUGAGACACGGCCCAGACUCCUACGGGAGGCAGCAGUGGGGAAUACUGGACAAUGGGCGCAAGCCUGAUCCAGCCAUGCCGCGUGUGUGAAGAAGGCCUUCGGGUUGUAAAGCACUUUUGUUGGGAAAGAAAAGCAGCCGGUUAAUACCCGGUUGUCAUGACGGUACCCAAAGAAUAAGCACCGGCUAACUUCGUG